CAGUGCACUUUUGUUCUUGUUCUGGACAGA
rnacentral:piRNA from 1 species